CUGGGCCAAAGUGAUUAUAGUUGGGCAGGAGAAUUGUUGGAUCUGUCUCUUCUGUAUCAUAUUGCUUGAAAUCUAGAAGAAAAAGAGAAUAGUAUCAGUAUACUGAGUCCCGCCAUCAAUGAAUCGAGUGAAGGUCCUGCGCUCACUUCAUGAACAUAGAGUAAAGAAUCCCUGGAGCUUCUCCCUUCUGUGGGCCGCGAAAUGAAGAAAAGACUGUGAAGGGCGCAGGACGCCUCACCUGCUGACGAACGCCGAAGACAAGGAAGACAAAUAGAAACUCUUAAACUUGGAAUUUUAGGGUCCAUGCACACUAUGCAAAUUCCGCUUCAAAUUUUUCAAUUGUGAAAUUCCGCUUGCAGUAACCUCUUGCGGAAUCGGCACUUAACGGCGGUUAUGGCAUUAAAGGGGUACUCCACCCCUAGACAUAUUACCCUUUUUCCCAGUGGCGGGACCCCCGAGAUCUCGGCUGUGGCACCCAAGUCAUCAAGUGCACGGAGAAAACUUCACCGGAUGACUGGCGAUGCGGUGCGGAGG